GAUGAACGCUGGCGGCGUGCUUAACACAUGCAAGUCGAGCGAAGCACCUUGACGGAUUUCUUCGGAUUGAAGCCUUGGUGACUGAGCGGCGGACGGGUGAGUAACGCGUGGGUAACCUGCCUCAUACAGGGGGAUAACAGUUGGAAACGGCUGCUAAUACCGCAUAAGCGCACAGUACCGCAUGGUACGGUGUGAAAAGCUCCGGUGGUAUGAGAUGGACCCGCGUCUGAUUAGGUAGUUGGUGGGGUAACGGCCUACCAAGCCGACGAUCAGUAGCCGACCUGAGAGGGUGACCGGCCACAUUGGGACUGAGACACGGCCCAAACUCCUACGGGAGGCAGCAGUGGGGAAUAUUGCACAAUGGGGGAAACCCUGAUGCAGCGACGCCGCGUGAGCGAUGAAGUAUUUCGGUAUGUAAAGCUCUAUCAGCAGGGAAGAAAAUGACGGUAC
rnacentral:rRNA from 1 species